UUUAAUGUGGCAGAAUAGUGCAAUGAAUUUAAGCUUCAUAUAUAAAGAUACUCCUUUCAUUAAAA
rnacentral:tRNA from 1 species